UAAUACACCAACCCUAUCUGAGUAUGCUCAGCAAGGCAUAUUUGGCUCAGCAAAGUUGCAGUAUCAAUUUGCAACAAUCAGUUGUAUUUCUAUACCCUAGCAAUGAGUAACAUGAAAAUAAGAUUAAGGAAAUGAUUUAUUUUACAGUAGCAUUGAAACAAACUGUAAAUGCUGAGGAAUAAAUUUAACAAAAGGUGUACAAAACAUAUACUCUGAAAAUUACAAGACAUUGCUAAAAUAAAUUAAACAAGACCUAAAUAAACUGCAAGGUGAUUUGUGUUAAGGAUUGGAGCACAUAAUAUUAUUAAGAUGCCCAUAAUCUCCAAGGCAAUAUACAGAUUCAUUGUGAUGCCAGUCAGAAUCCAAGUUGCCUUCUUUGUAAAAAUUGGCAAGCUAAUCCUAAAAUUCUUACAAAAAUGUAAGGGACCCAGAUAGCCAGAACAAUCUCGUAAAAGAAAAAAAUUGAAGGACUCACACUUCCCAAUUUCAAAACGUACUACAAAGCUAAACUAAUCCAAAAAGGGUGGUACUGGCAUCAUGAUAGAUAUAUUAGGUCAAUGUUACAGAACUCGGGGUCAGAAAUAAAUCCAUAUGUUUAUGUAUAGUUCAUUUUCAACAAGAGUGCUAGCACCACUCAAUGGGCGGGGGUGGGAGGUGGCAGGGAACAAUAAUCCCUUCAACAAACUGUGCUAGGACAACUGGAUAGCCACAUGCAAAAGAAUGCCCUGGACCUCUACCUCACGCUGUGUAAAAAAUUAACUCAAAAUGGAUCACAGGUCUAAAUGUAAGGGCUGAAACUAUAAGACUCUUAGAAGAAAACAGAGAUGUAACUUUCCAUGACCUUGGAUUAGGCAACAGUUCCUUCAGUAUGACACCAAAGGGACAGCUACAGACAUUUUUUUCAUUGGCAAAUUGUACUACAUCCAAAUUAAAAUCUUUUGGGCAACAAAGGGCACUAUCCAGAAAGUGAAUGGGAGAAACAUUUGCAAAUCACAUAUCUGAUAAGAGUCUAUUUUCGAGAAUAUAUGAAUAAGUUUUAGAACCCCACAGCCAAAAUGCAAUCAACCCAAUUAAAGAGUGGGCAAAGGGCUUGAGUAGACAUUCCUCCAAAGUAGAGGUACAAAGGGCAAAGAAGCACAUGAAAAGAUGCUCAACAUCAUUAGCCAUGUGGGAAAUGCAAAUGAAAACCACCAUGAGAUAGCACUUCACACCCACUAGGAUGGCUAUUAU